UGGGGAAUUUUGGACAAUGGGCGAAAGCCUGAUCCAGCAAUGCCGCGUGUGUGAAGAAGGCCUUCGGGUUGUAAAGCACUUUUGUCCGGAAAGAAAUCCUUGGCUCUAAUACAGUCGGGGGAUGACGGUACCGGAAGAAUAAGCACCGGCUAACUACGUGCCAGCAGCCGCGGUAAUACGUAGGGUGCAAGCGUUAAUCGGAAUUACUGGGCGUAAAGCGUGCGCAGGCGGUUUGCUAAGACCGAUGUGAAAUCCCGGGCUCAACCUGGGAACUGCAUUGGUGACUGGCAGGCUAGAGUAUGGCAGAGGGGGGUAGAAUUCCACGUGUAGCAGUGAAAUGCGUAGAGAUGUGGAGGAAUACCGAUGGCGAAGGCAGCCCCCUGGGCCAAUACUGACGCUCAUGCACGAAAGCGUGGGGAGCAAACAGGAUUAGAUACCCUGGUAGUCCACGCCCUAAACGAUGUCAACUAGUUGUUGGGGGACUUCAUUUUCCUUAGUAACGUAGCUAACGCGUGAAGUUGACCGCCUGGGGAGUACGGUCG
rnacentral:rRNA from 1 species